UACAGAGGGUGCGAGCGUUAAUCGGAUUUACUGGGCGUAAAGCGUGUGUAGGUGGUUGGAAAAGUCGAUUGUGAAAUCCCCGGGCUCAACCUGGGAAUGCCAUUCGAUACUCCGCGACUAGAAUUCGGUAGAGGGAGGCGGAACUCCAGGUGUAGCGGUGAAAUGCGUAGAUAUCUGGAAGAACACCGAUGGCGAAGGCAACCUCCUGGGCCUGAAUUGACACUGAAGCACGAAAGCGUGGGGAGCAAACAGG
rnacentral:rRNA from 1 species